AUGAAUGUAUAAAUUUACAUGUCCUCAAAUAUAUGUAGGUUUUAGAUGAGAUUCAUUAAUUCACAAGUCUAGAAAUGAUAAGAAAAGUUUUCUCCCAUUGCAUAAUGAAGAGCCUACCUCCUCCACCUACCUGAAUAGGGUCCUGCAGCAAAGAAUUGGGAAACUUAUUAGGCAGAGCUAAGAAGGUCGGGUCUGUGAGACGAAGAUACACAGACCUGCUUGUAAGGCAAAAGCACCUUCAGCUCUCUCCCUUCUGGCCUGUCAUGUUAUUGUAGAGGGAGGACAAGCCCUGACUUGGAGGUAAUGAGAAGGAAUCCACCGAGAGGAAGCAUUAACUCACGUCAUGUCAUACCUGGAAAACAGCAGGAGCAGCUGCUUGCCCAACUUGCAUAGGAGAACUACAUCAUCCCACCCACACUGGCCUGGGCAAUUCAGUUCAUUCGUGCCAUGGAACUCUCAGCAGAAGUUUCCUGCUAUCCUGGCUCUCAAGUGGAUAGAGCCCAACUCUGAUUUCACUGAGCUUCCCUGCUCAUUCUAGAUUGUAGGACAGAGUGGGUUUGGUGACAUAGGACAGCAGGCCAUCUCCUUCCACCUGAACCCACUCUUAUUAAACUAUGGAGUCCGAAAAUUGAAUAGUGAGUUGUAGGGAACAGGGGAAGGGGACGUUACCAGAACCUCUGCAGUAAGUCCUAGUCUCCUGUGAGCCAUGGCAGCACACGGCGAAUGACAGGAAAGGUAGACAAAUGAGACUGAGAAGAAGCUGAUCUUUGGGUCUGAUCAGUGCUGCUCUGGGCAGCAAAGACAAAAGCCCCCUAGCUUGCAGCACCUUUUAUUCAGUGCAUGGGGAAACAGAUGUAACAAGUGAAAAUGCAGAGUUCAGUACUUCACAGUGGGAUAAACAAGGUGUAACAAAAGGCUGGGUGGGGGCGACAGAAAUCUAAGAACAAUGAGGAACUAUGCAGAUGAAGAUUUGGUUCCUCCCAGGGCAUCUCCCGCAGGUGUGGUCUUGUCCUGGAGCAUUACAGCAUCACGGGAUCACUGAAGUCUCAGUUGUGACCGGAGGCCAAACUGGAGUUAUUCUGUAGCUUGGCUGUAGGCAAGAGAACUAGGCAACCAAAUGAUUUUUUCCUAGAAUUAUGUAGCAUUGUUCCCAACAGUGAGUUGGUUGAAUGAGGUGUCUAGGUUCUACCAAGGUGAUUUCCUGUGGUUUUAUUUCCUUCUGCAGGUUCCCAAUUCAGAAGAGAGAAGGAAGGGGUGGAAGUGGGCAGGUGAGAGCAGCUGUCCUGAAGGAGGAGAGGUGUGCACAGGCCUGGCUGACUGGCCCAGCUCUCAAAUGACUCCUCUCUACUGCAAAAAAACUAAGCAAGGCUGUCAGGAUUCUGGGAUAAGAGCCACUGCCCAAUGUAGACAUGGAAAUUUGAUAAGCAAGGCCUCCUUCCCAAAUUCAAGGCACAUGAGUUCAAAUUCAUGUUAGUCAGAAUGAGGAAUGCUCACUCAGGUUGCUCUGAUGUCAGAGAGUAUUUUGACCACUGUUUUAGCCAGGUUUCCAUUGCUGUGACAAAAUACCAGAGAAAAUAAACUUAACGGUGGAAAGGUUUAUUUUGGUUUGUGUUUUUAGAGGUUCAGUCCAUGGUUGUCUGACUCCGAGGCAG
ensembl:lncRNA